rnacentral:rRNA from 1 species
AGAGUUUGAUCCUGGCUCAGGAUGAACGCUGGCGGCGUGCUUAACACAUGCAAGUCGAACGGACGAUGAAGAGCUUGCUUUUCAGAGUUAGUGGCGGACGGGUGAGUAACGCGUGGGUAACCUGCCUCAUACAGGGGGAUAGCAGCUGGAAACGGCUGAUAAAACCGCAUAAGCGCACAGCAUCGCAUGAUGCAGUGUGAAAAACUCCGGUGGUAUGAGAUGGACCCGCGUCUGAUUAGCUUGUUGGUGAGGUAACGGCCCACCAAGGCGACGAUCAGUAGCCGGCCUGAGAGGGUGACCGGCCACAUUGGGACUGAGACACGGCCCAAACUCCUACGGGAGGCAGCAGUGGGGAAUAUUGCACAAUGGGGGAAACCCUGAUGCAGCGACGCCGCGUGAAGGAAGAAGUAUCUCGGUAUGUAAACUUCUAUCAGCAGGGAAGAUAAUGACGGUACCUGACUAAGAAGCCCCGGCUAACUACGUGCCAGCAGCCGCGGUAAUACGUAGGGGGCAAGCGUUAUCCGGAUUUACUGGGUGUAAAGGGAGCGUAGGCGGCGGAGCAAGUCAGAAGUGAAAGCCCGGGGCUCAACCCCGGGACGGCUUUUGAAACUGCCCUGCUUGAUUUCAGGAGAGGUAAGCGGAAUUCCUAGUGUAGCGGUGAAAUGCGUAGAUAUCAGGAGGAACAUCGGUGGCGUAAGCGCUUUACUGGGCCGUAAUUGACACUGAGGAACGAAAGCCGGGGUAGCAAAUGGGAUUAGAUACCCCAGUAGUCCCGGCCGUAAACGAUGGAUACUAGGUGUUGCGGGUAUCGACCCCUGCAGUGCCGCAGCUGACGCGUUAAGUAUCCCGCCUGGGGAGUACGCACGCAAGUGUGAAACUCAAAGGAAUUGACGGGGACCCGCACAAGCGGUGGAACAUGUGGUUUAAUUCGAAGCAACGCGAAGAACCUUACCAGGGCUUGACAUCUAACAAAUCUCUAUGAAAGUAGAGAGUGCUCUUCGGAGAAUAUUAAGACAGGUGGUGCACGGUUGUCGUCAGCUCGUGUCGUGAGAUGUUGGGUUAAGUCCCGCAACGAGCGCAACCCUCGUCGUUAGUUGGAUGUAUCGGUAUACUUAUACAUUCCUCUCUAGCGAGACUACCGGUGAUAAACCGGAGGAAGGUGGGGACGACGUCAAAUCAUCAUGCCCCUUAUGAUCUGGGCUACACACGUGCUACAGUGGCGUUUAACAAAGAGAAGCGAAGCCGCGAGGUGGAGCAAAUCUCAGAAACAACGUCUCAGUUCGGACUGGAGUCUGCAACCCGACUCCACGAAGCUGGAUUCGCUAGUAAUCGCGCAUCAGCCACGGCGCGGUGAAUACGUUCCCGGGCCUUGCACACACCGCCCGUCA